GUGAGGAAUCUUCCACAAUGGGCGAAAGCCUGAUGGAGCAACGCCGCGUGAAGGAUGAAGGUCUUCGGAUUGUAAACUUCUUUUAUGAGUGAAGAAUAUGACGGUAACUCAUGAAUAAGCACCGGCUAACUACGUGCCAGCAGCCGCGGUCAUACGUAGGGUGCAAGCAUUAUCCGGAGUGACUGGGCGUAAAGAGUUGCGUAGGUGGUUUAUUAAGUGAAUAGUGAAAGCUAGCGGCUCAACCGUAUAGAUUAUUAUUCAAACUGGUAAACUCGAGAAUGGUAGAGGUAACUGGAAUUUCUUGUGUAGGAGUGAAAUCCGUAGAUAUAAGAAGGAACACCAAUGGCGUAGGCAGGUUACUGGACCAUUUCUGACACUAAGGCACGAAAGCGUGGGGAGCGAACCGGAUUAGAACCCCCGGUAGUCC
rnacentral:rRNA from 1 species